AUGACCACAGAGGCAGAGAUUGGAGUUACGCCACUACAAGCCAAUGAUCAUUUAGCAAUCACCAUGGACUAGGAGAGAAGCAUGGAACAGAUUUUCCCUCUGUGCCCUAAAGAGGAAGCAACACUGCCAACACUUUGAUUUUGGACUUCUGACCUCCAGAACUCAUUCUAAAAGCUGAGCCUUGGAAUUCUGUUUGAAAUCACCUACAGAAAACACACCUGAGAAAAUUCCUAAACUCUCUCUGGGAAAGAAAAAGGCAGGAUUGAAACAUGUUGGAAUUUUCGUGGCUCCUGCCGUGACGAAUGCCUGAAGAAUGAAAGGGUCUAUGUUUUCUGCGUGAGUGGUAAACUGUGCUGUUUGAAGCCCAAGGACCAGCCACAUUUACCACAGCAUAUAAAGAAUUAGUGCUUUAAAGUCUGAGGCCACAAAAAUGAAGAUAAACUUGCCUUAAGUCUGAUGUCAGUAGAUUCCUGGGCUUUAUUAAAACAUCUUUGGCUGA
rnacentral:lncRNA from 10 species